AGAUGGUGCGCUAAGCGUUGUGAUAGAGGGCGCCAAGUAAAGCGAGGGCGCUAAACAAGCGGUGAGGAAGCUGAAACGUCAGGUGGUGACCCGAGCGACCCGACCCGAAUGAUCCUGGGGAUCAGCAGCCCCGCCGGCCUUGCAGCAGUCCGAAAUUUGAUCUGACCGGCGACUUGUUGAUUGGUUCCGUUGAACGAUGACUGAUCGAUGACAGCAUUGGUGUCGUCGUCACCUCUGGAGCAGCCAGCCGUGUAAAACAGCGCGUGCAGCCGAGCUGGUAGCAUUCAGCCAUGCACCGUGACUAAUUCUACAGCACCUCUCCAAACCGGUCUAUCCAGGAGUCAAUUUGAAAACAUACAAGCUUCAUCGUAAAUUCACACCUGAAGUUUUGACAGCGAUAAGCCGAUAGGCGCAACAGGAGCAUGACAACUAACAAGAGACUGAUAGAGCAACAACUCCGGUAUCAUCUCUCCGUCGGCCGUCCCAUGGCCCAUGGACAGUCUUGCCUGUCCGUUGGGGGACGCUCUGCCUGUCGGGGGACGCUCCGUCCGCCCGCCGCAUCUGUGUCAAGGGCUCCGACGAACCGAUGACGCCGGCUGGAUGACGCCGCGCGCCGGAUGACGCUGCCACCACCACGCCGCCACGUCGAUGCAAAUGGUGCAGCUUUCCAUGCCGGUUGGGCAAGUCUGCGGCGUCUGUGCGGGGGAGUGGCCGGUGCUGUGCCCGCUCUGGCUCUGACUGGCCUCGGGGUGGGCUCUGAUCGGCCCGGCGUACCUGGGACGCCGCCGACGAGAGAGAACCUAUCGAGCUUGUCAUCGACCAUGUCGCAUGCUCCUUAGACGGCAGUGGCCUGCAUGUUCCUGUGGCACGCUGAUUCGUAGGCUGUAGAAAUAAGUUACGCAAACGCGCGGCGUCAUGCAAUUAACUACUCUGGAUUUGAAUGCCAAGUUGAUUCAAACUGCUAAGCUGCUGUAAUGUAUCCACAUUGUAUGGAAGAUAUGUUUUACAUUCUUAUUUUUUGAUUGAAGUGUUCAUUAUUUUUAGGUAUACGGUGGAUUUCCCACGUGUCGCUUUAGUCGCUUUAGCGCUCUUUUUACGAGCCUAGUCUGAGAUAAGUGGCAGUGGCUAAGUUAUAGAGCACGAUGAAUUCGACGAGCAGGGCAUCGUGUGUUUGACAUGGCUGACUUGACUCUGAAAUCUGCCGCUCAUCCUGAUUUAUCCCGAUCAAGCGGUGAAUGCCAAUUAUUUUCAGCAGGUCAGCAUGCGUAGGCGGUAGGAACCUGACCUGACCUCAGAAAUAUACCUAAACAUGUAAGAAAA